rnacentral:rRNA from 1 species
UGCGCGUGCUAUCAUCCGCGAGCGGACAGAAGGGAGCUUGCUCCCGGAUGUUAGCGGCGGACGGGUGAGUAACACGUGGGUAACCUGCCUGUAAGACUGGGAUAACUCCGGGAAACCGGAGCUAAUACCGGAUAGUUCCUUGAACCGCAUGGUCUCAAGGAUGAAAGACGGUUUCGGCUGUCACUUACAGAUGGACCCGCGGCGCAUUAGCUAGUUGGUGAGGUAACGGCUCACCAAGGCGACGAUGCGUAGCCGACCUGAGAGGGUGAUCGGCCACACUGGGACUGAGACACGGCCCAGNACUCCUACGGGAGGCAGCAGUUAGGGAAGUCUUCCGCCAAUGGACGAAAGUCUGACGGAGCAACGCCGCCGUGAAGUGAUGAAGGUUUUCGGAUCGUUAAAGCUCUUGUUGUUAGGCAAGAAACAAGGUGCAAGAGUAACUGCUUUGCCACCCUUUGGACGGGUACCCUUAACCUAGAAAAGCCCACGGGCUUAACCUAACGUGCCCAACCAGGCCCGGCGGGUAAUUACCGGUUAAGGGUGGGU